AUAAUCACAAUGUAUUCAUAAUGUUUGUAGUAGAUGUAUGGUACAUCACUGCUUAUGUAUGUGCACAGCAGCUGCUGUUUAAUGUAGUUGAGCUCACACAUUCUUAUUGCUUACUGCAUGCUUUGCUAGUGAUAAAUGAUAGCCAUUUUUCUCUACCACAGCCAAGAACAGAGAUUAAAACUGUAGAUACCAAUCUGAUCUCACAGGUCACAGCUUGUCUGUGUAACCCGUUUUAUGUUGUAACUGAUAGCAGUAAAAGGUCUUUCAUCAACCUUGUUUAUUUAUGUCUGUGAUUCACAGUGAUGAUGAUUUAUAGAGCACCUGUAAUUGCAAGUGUAUACCUCUCAAGAAAAUGCAAUGCAGAGCUGCAAAAAAUGACCCUGUGGGAGGGAGAGGUAUUAAAAGACUAGUAUGAAUAAAAAAAAAUCCAAACAGUGUGAAUAAAGAAAUCCAAACAAUAGGAUAAUCCAAUUAUUAAAUAUAGAGCAGAUUUGUAUAUAAAGAGUGGAGAUGGGUAAUUAGGAGGGGAAAACAGAGGACUGGAAAAUUCAGCACCUCUAUUUUACAUUGUUUAAAAUUUUAAAAGCCUAUUGACGUAGUCAUAUCUGCUCUUUGGCUUGCUUACAUUAAUCUUGACUACAUCUUGGACAUCUGAGAAGCUUUGAGAUCACAGAGUUUGGAUUUCCAAAUUCAGUUUAUGUUUUCUCCAUAAUGUAGAAAACACAAUGAUUUUAGUAGGGAAAACCAAAUUCUGCAUAUAAAAAAGAGGUUGAAAGUGUAGCAAAGGAUGCAGAACAGAAUAAAUGCUAAAAAAAAAAAGGGGGAGGUUUUUAUUAAAAAAAAAGUGUAUUACAGGAAGAGAUUUAAAUAUCUUAACAUCUUACUAAGCAGAAGACUGAAAGAUGACAGGAUUGCAUUAGGAUUCCCCUGGGAAGAAGAUACCAAGCCUGAAAAGCCCAUUUAUUUUAGCAGACAUGGAGAUAAUAAGAUUCAGUGAUAGGUACCUGAAAACAGUCAGAUUCCAAUUAGACAUAAAGCAAAUGUUUGUAACGUGACCCAUUACAGCAAGCUCCCAGGGGAAAGCAGGGUGUCUUUCAAGGUUUUCAGUAUGCCUUUACUGAAGAUAUACAUUAUAUAAAAAAUAUACAUGCUACCAGACUGUAUACUGGAGUAACUGGGGAAAACCAGAUUUUGGUAUGCUAAUAGUUAAGAAGAUCAAUGUGAUGAUCUAACAGACCUUUUGGCCUCUAAGAUCAAAACAAGUCUUCUCUGAAAAUUAGUUCCUGUAGAGCUAUGUUUGGACUGUAGCAUCACGGACUAAGUGACUCCAUAAGCCUUCACCUGCAUGUUUUUCUUUACCUAAUUUCCUACACUGGAAGCAGGUCUUUCCUCAGAAAACAUAGUAAGAGAACUGCAAACUCCUUCCUCCCUUUUUACUCUAUACAGUCAAGAGAUUGGUGUCUGUUCUUCUGUCCUUCAGAUGCUGCCUUCUCUCUGUUUUCAUCCUUCCCUACUUGCCUCCCCAGAAGCCACACGUCCUGUUCUUGGGUAGUUAAUGAGCAUCCAUAGGUUGACUCUAAAGUCCGUGGAAACUUUACCUCUGAUACCCUCCUGAAAAGAGAUAGACAUCUGAGAAAUGAGCAAACUAUAGCCAUUUUAGAAAAGUCUUUAUCUGUUAAACAGCUCAGGACUGUAAGAAUUCAUUUGUUAGCCAGAAAAAAAUUAUUUCUCUUUAUCUCUAGUUCACAGACUACCACUGGGGUACUGAUAAGAUAGUGAGAAAUAAAUGCCUUUCUUGAAAUAGAAUAUAUUAUCAGAGACAGUGCUUAUAGAACUCUCAUUUACUGAAUUUAGAUCUCCUUUUAAUGUCUGACAUAUGUAUUCAGUCUCUCUUGUUUUAUUUUUUUAUACUUGCUUAGUGACAAGAGAGUAGAGCACUUUUAUUUUUUUACCAGCGUUUUAGGGUUUCAGAUCUUAUUUUUGGACAGAAAUGCAUGGUGGCCCUUUUCCAGCAUAUAUUUGUGCACUGCAGAGAGCUUUGUACCUGAUUCUUGCAAUGAUCUCAGCACUAGGAUGAUGGAGACAUGGGAUCCCACUGUUUUGUGGUGAAUAAGGAGCCUUUGGAGCCAGAUAUAUCAAAACAGGACAUGAAGGUCACUGUUUUCUGCUUCUCCUAUAAUUACUGUCUCUUUGUAGUUCAUUUAAUCUCAGUAUUCCUUUUGGAACAUGGUAAUUACGUUUCUGCCUGCAAAUGUCUGUCAUGGCAGAUCAGCCCCAGCAGGUAAGGCCAGUUCCUCUCUGUAGCAGUCCUGCUCAAGCACCAUAGGGACAUUCCUCUUCCCCAGGGUCCCUCCCCAGCACAUGGUGCCAGUGUGGUUAUUUGGCAGUCCCUGAGUAGGCUCUUUCACCAGAGACCAUCAGAACAUGGUUCUGGAUGCCACUGAGUAUCUUUAAUGUGUGCAUUUUCCUUUCAGGGAAACUGAGGCUUCUCAACAUCUGGCUGGAAGUGUCCAGAAAGACUUCUCCUCUGCUGCGUGGGAGACUUUCAGCUCCAGUUUAUGUAUACAUAACAUGCAGGGGAUCAGAAUCAUGAAGAUAAACUACUACUUUGUGGUUGGACAGCAUACCUUCUCUAGAUUCCCUGUGCACUGAAAUGAAUCAACCUGAGAUAUGAUAUUAAAAAAAAAAAAUUCAAUCAGUAAAAUGUAUUAACUCUUUUCCUGAUUUUAAAAAUUUAACAUUCCUUCUGUUCUGUAGCACUACUAUUCCUGAUUGUUAUGAAACACUUAAAAAUUAAUAAAUAAAAAUGCAUAAAUUCAAAUAUGAA